rnacentral:rRNA from 1 species
GACGAACGCUGGCGGCGUGCCUAAUACAUGCAAGUAGAACGCACAGUUUAUACCGUAGCUUGCUCCACCAUAGACUGUGAGUUGCGAACGGGUGAGUAACGCGUAGGUAACCUGCCUGGUAGCGGGGGAUAACUAUUGGAAACGAUAGCUAAUACCGCAUAAUAUUAAUUAUUGCAUGAUAAUUAAUUGAAAGGUGCAAUUGCACCACUACCAGAUGGACCUGCGUUGUAUUAGCUAGUAGGUGAGGUAACGGCUCACCUAGGCGACGAUACAUAGCCGACCUGAGAGGGUGAUCGGCCACACUGGGACUGAGACACGGCCCAGACUCCUACGGGAGGCAGCAGUAGGGAAUCUUCGGCAAUGGACGAAAGUCUGACCGAGCAACGCCGCGUGAGUGAAGAAGGUUUUCGGAUCGUAAAGCUCUGUUGUAAGGGAAGAACGGGUGUGAGAGUGGAAAGUUCACACUGUGACGGUAUCUUACCAGAAAGGGACGGCUAACUACGUG